rfam:Glycine max cultivar Williams 82 chromosome 8, whole genome shotgun sequence.
UUGCUCUAGGGAUGGAUAUGUCCCUCACAUAAUUCUUCCAUCCGAUUCACUUUGUCAGCUUUGUUUUUUAAUGUUUUGCUGAUCAUUGUAGGAUGGAAUAUCU